AUACAAGCAAAUGACAAGAUGCCCUAUGAAGGUGGUUUUCCCAGGGCGAGGCUUAUUGAUCACAUUCCUGAUUUACUAACCCCUGAGCUUUUCCCAGAUGUGGGAAACUCAACUGCGUAAUUUGUGGUAGUGAGGACUGUGUUUGUACUUUCACC
rnacentral:snRNA from 10 species